GACGAACGCUGGCGGCGUGCUUAACACAUGCAAGUCGAACGGAAAGGCCCUGCUUUUGUGGGGUGCUCGAGUGGCGAACGGGUGAGUAACACGUGAGUAACCUGCCCUUGACUUUGGGAUAACUUCAGGAAACUGGGGCUAAUACCGGAUAGGCGCUCCUGCUGCAUGGUGGGGGUUGGAAAGUUUCGGCGGUUGGGGAUGGACUCGCGGCUUAUCAGCUUGUUGGUGGGGUAGUGGCUUACCAAGGCUUUGACGGGUAGCCGGCCUGAGAGGGUGACCGGCCACAUUAGGACUGAGAUACGGCCCAGACUCCUACGGGAGGCAGCAGUGGGGAAUAUUGCACAGUGGGCGGAAGCCUGAUGCAGCAACGCCGGGUGCGGGAUGACGGCCUUGGGGUUGUAAACCGCUUUCGCCUGUGGCGAAGCGUGAGUGACGGUAAUGGGUAAAGAAGCACCGGCUAACUACGUG
rnacentral:rRNA from 1 species